CCUACGGGAGGCUGCAGUCGAGAAUCAUUCACAAUGGGGGAAACCCUGAUGGUGCGACGCCGCGUGGGGGAAUGAAGGUCUUCGGAUUGUAAACCCCUGUCAUGUGGGAGCAAAUUAAAAAGAUAGUACCACAAGAGGAAGAGACGGCUAACUCUGUGCCAGCAGCCGCGGUAAUACAGAGGUCUCAAGCGUUGUUCGGAAUCACUGGGCGUAAAGCGUGCGUAGGCUGUUUCGUAAGUCGUGUGUGAAAGGCGCGGGCUCAACCCGCGGACGGCACAUGAUACUGCGAGACUAGAGUAAGGGAGGGGGAACCGGAAUUCUCGGUGUAGCAGUGAAAUGCGUAGAUAUCGAGAGGAACACUCGUGGUGAAGGCGGGUUCCUGGACAUUAACUGACGCUGAGGCACGAAGGCCAGGGGAGCGAAAGGGAUUAGAUACCCUAGUAGUC
rnacentral:rRNA from 1 species